rnacentral:lncRNA from 1 species
CCCCCACGUGACAUACGGGGUACCCCAAAUCCCUUUGGGGUUUCUCCCAUCAGCGGUGCUGCCUGCGGUGUCGGAGGAUCUCAGUGGGGGUGAAGGAGAAAUCCCGCUGGCACUCAUGGCAGUGGUACGGCCGCUGCAGGGCUGAGGUCGGGGGGCAGCUCUGGGGUUCCUCUUCUUGGGGGGCGUCCGGCGGCCGACACGCGUUCUCG